rnacentral:tRNA from 1 species
AGUAGAGUAAGCUAACAUCAAGCUUUCAGGCUCAUACCCUGAAAAUGGAAGGAUAGAGACCUCCCUCUACUU